rnacentral:piRNA from 1 species
CCAGGCUCCAAACAGGCUUUGGGUGUUUGC